rnacentral:tRNA from 1 species
GGGGGGUUAGCUCAGUUGGUAGAGCGCCUGCUUUACACGCAGGAUGUCGGCGGUUCGAGACCGUCACCCCCUACCA